GAUGAACGCUGGCGGCGUGCCUAAUACAUGCGAGUCGAGCGAACGGACGGGAAGCUUGCUUCUCUGAUGUUAGCGGCGGACGGGUGAGUAACACGUGGAUAACCUACCUAUAAGACUGGGAUAACUUCGGGAAACCGGAGCUAAUACCGGAUAAUAUUUUGAACCGCAUGGUUCAAAAGUGAAAGACGGUCUUGCUGUCACUUAUAGAUGGAUCCGCGCUGCAUUAGCUAGUUGGUAAGGUAACGGCUUACCAAGGCAACGAUGCAUAGCCGACCUGAGAGGGUGGUCGGCCACACUGGAUCUGAGACACGGUCCAGACUCCUACGGGAGGCAGCAGUAGGGAAUCUUCCGCAAUGGGCGAAAGCCUGACAGAGCAACGCCGCGUGAGUGAUGAAGGUCUUCGGAUCGUAAAACUCUGUUAUUAGGGAAGAACAUAUGUGUAAGUAACUGUGCACAUCUUGACGGUACCUAAUCAGAAAGCCACGGCUAACUACGUG
rnacentral:rRNA from 1 species